GUCAACUGCCUCCGCCUAAAGGCGGGAGCUUGUGAAAACAAGCUGGGUUGACCAGGGAAAGCGGUAGCCAACCCGCUACGUUGAUAACAGGUCGUUAAGACUCACCGCCGAAUCCUUCCUCAGUUCGGCGCUCUGAAAGAUCAGGGUCAUGCGGGCGCAAGGUAAAACGCCGAAGGUUUUGAUCGCUGCCGCAAGGCAGGAGCCGGUUAUCGACUUUCCCGAGGGGAGAC
rfam:Halomonas sp. 54_146 DS1215_scaffold_2, whole genome shotgun sequence.